rnacentral:lncRNA from 1 species
CCGAAAUGCAAAUCCUUGAUUCAAAAGAAGUCUUACUACAUCAAUUGAGGCAGACAAGCGAAGCCAAUACUCAUGCUUAACUUGAUCAGAUUGUCUCUCAAAUGCAGAUAUAAUAGACUGUUGUUGUCGCAUUAGAUCUUCACUUUUCUUUUUUGCCUGAUUAUGAGUGCUAUUCGGCCCACCAAUAUGUUGCUUAAAACUUUUCUUCUUAUUCCAACUCUUAAACCCUACAGUAGAAAAUACUUCACCUCCACCUUGAUGAAUGUUAUCAUAUUUAAACAAAUAACAAUUCAAACAAUAUGCUGCAUUGUUAGUUACACUAUAU